GGAACAGUUGCACUUGGUGGUUUAAAUACUUCAAGGUAAGUGAACCUUUUUGCAUCCUACCCAAAGAUCUCAGAUUUCCAUUAAAGCACCUUUCUUAAAAUUCAGAUCUGCUAUAUGAUGCUUGAUUGAAAGAAAUGAAAUUUUCUUGUUUGGCCCAGCACUGUACUGUUGGGGCUCAACUUUGUGUAGGCCUUAACACUUUAUCAGUAUGUCAAGGCUACACAUAUCAACAAGGGUGUUGAUAUUCACAGGCAGAAAGACAUGGACCACCCGGUCUUUGUCGAGGUUGGAAAUGUCAGGAUGAUCAUGAGGGCGAACCUUGUGACGCAGGAUGGUUAGAGAUGGGGCUUGAUUUGUUCCUUUGUCAUCUUGAAUUUUGAAUUUUGAUUUGAUGGGUAUCUUGUUUUGAAUCAGAUCUGUUGUUUAUGUUCUCGUCUAUACCGCGGGAUCUUAAUUUCAUUACUCACAUGAGCAACAUCGGAUGGAAGGAAUUUCAAAGGACGAAGCCUAUUAUCAUCGAUCCAGG